rnacentral:rRNA from 1 species
AGAGUUUGAUCCUGGCUCAGGACGAACGCUGGCGGCGUGCCUAAUACAUGCAAGUCGAGCGGACAGAUGGGAGCUUGCUCCCUGAUGUUAGCGGCGGACGGGUGAGUAACACGUGGGUAACCUGCCUGUAAGACUGGGAUAACUCCGGGAAACCGGGGCUAAUACCGGAUGGUUGUUUGAACCGCAUGGUUCAAACAUAAAAGGUGGCUUCGGCUACCACUUACAGAUGGACCCGCGGCGCAUUAGCUAGUUGGUGAGGUGACGGCUCACCAAGGCAACGAUGCGUAGCCGACCUGAGAGGGUGAUCGGCCACACUGGGACUGAGACACGGCCCAGACUCCUACGGGAGGCAGCAGUAGGGAAUCUUCCGCAAGGGACGAAAGUCUGACGGAGCAACGCCGCGUGAGUGAUGAAGGUUUUCGGAUCGUAAAGCUCUGUUGUUAGGGAAGAACAAGUACCGUUCGAAUAGGGCGGUACCUUGACGGUACCUAACCAGAAAGCCACGGCUAACUACGUGCCAGCAGCCGCGGUAAUACGUAGGUGGCAAGCGUUGUCCGGAAUUAUUGGGCGUAAAGGGCUCGCAGGCGGUUUCUUAAGUCUGAUGUGAAAGCCCCCGGCUCAACCGGGGAGGGUCAUUGGAAACUGGGGAACUUGAGUGCAGAAGAGGAGAGUGGAAUUCCACGUGUAGCGGUGAAAUGCGUAGAGAUGUGGAGGAACACCAGUGGCGAAGGCGACUCUCUGGUCUGUAACUGACGCUGAGGAGCGAAAGCGUGGGGAGCGAACAGGAUUAGAUACCCUGGUAGUCCACGCCGUAAACGAUGAGUGCUAAGUGUUAGGGGGUUUCCGCCCCUUAGUGCUGCAGCUAACGCAUUAAGCACUCCGCCUGGGGAGUACGGUCGCAAGACUGAAACUCAAAGGAAUUGACGGGGGCCCGCACAAGCGGUGGAGCAUGUGGUUUAAUUCGAAGCAACGCGAAGAACCUUACCAGGUCUUGACAUCCUCUGACAAUCCUAGAGAUAGGACGUCCCCUUCGGGGGCAGAGUGACAGGUGGUGCAUGGUUGUCGUCAGCUCGUGUCGUGAGAUGUUGGGUUAAGUCCCGCAACGAGCGCAACCCUUGAUCUUAGUUGCCAGCAUUCAGUUGGGCACUCUAAGGUGACUGCCGGUGACAAACCGGAGGAAGGUGGGGAUGACGUCAAACCAUCAUGCCCCUUAUGACCUGGGCUACACACGUGCUACAAUGGACAGAACAAAGGGCAGCGAAACCGCGAGGUUAAGCCAAUCCCACAAAUCUGUUCUCAGUUCGGAUCGCAGUCUGCAACUCGACUGCGUGAAGCUGGAAUCGCUAGUAAUCGCGGACCAGCAUGCCGCGGUGAAUACGUUCCCGGGCCUUGUACACACCGCCCGUCACACCACGAGAGUUUGUAACACCCGAAGUCGGUGAGGUAACCUUUUAGGAGCCAGCCGCCGAAGGUGGGACAGAUGAUUGGGGUGAAGUCGUAACAAGGUAGCCGUAUCGGAAGGUGCGG